AGAGUUUGAUCAUGGCUCAGAAUCAACGCUGGCGGCGCGCUUAACACAUGCAAGUCGCACGAGAAAGCCGGAGCAAUCUGGUGAGUAAAGUGGCGUACGGGUGAGUAACACGUGGAUGAUCUGCCCUUUAGUGGGGAAUAACCCUGGGAAACCGGGGCUAAUACCGCAUAAGCCUGCAAAGGGAAAGCAGCAAUGCGCUGAAGGAGGAGUCCGCGGCCGAUUAGCUAGUUGGUAGGGUAAUGGCCUACCAAGGCAAUGAUCGGUAGCCGGCCUGAGAGGGCACACGGCCACACUGGCACUGAAACACGGGCCAGACUCCUACGGGAGGCAGCAGUGGGGAAUCUUGCACAAUGGGGGCAACCCUGAUGCAGCGACGCCGCGUGAGCGAUGAAGCCCUUCGGGGUGUAAAGCUCUUUCGGCAGGGAAGAUUAUGACGGUACCUGCAGAAGCAGCUGCGGCUAACUACGUGCCAGCAGCCGCGGUAAUACGUAGGCAGCAAGCGUUGUUCGGAGUUACUGGGCGUAAAGGGUGUGUAGGCGGUUUUCUAAGUCUGGUGUGAAAUCUCCCGGCUCAACUGGGAGGGUGCGCCGAAAACUGGAAGGCUAGAGUGCGGGAUGGGAGAGUGGAAUUCCUGGUGUAGCGGUGAAAUGCGUAGAUAUCAGGAGGAACACCUGUGGUGUAGACGGCUCUCUGGACCGCAACUGACGCUGAGACACGAAAGCGUGGGUAGCAAACAGGAUUAGAUACCCUAGUAGUCC
rnacentral:rRNA from 1 species